rfam:Chlorella variabilis plastid, complete genome.
GCCGUUAUGGUGAAAUAGGUAGACGCACAAGCUUGAGGGGUUUGCGGACAAUAGUUCCAUCCCGGUUCGAGUCCGGGUAACGGCA